UCUAGAGAUUGAACCCAGGUCUCCCACAUUGCAGGCGGAUUCUUUACCAGCUGAGCCACAAGAGAAGCCCUGUUGUAUGAGAAGGGGCUGUAAAGUGAUAGGGCUGGGGGCAGCCCGGGCUUGGCGUAGAUCAGUGGGCGGGGGCAGGGGGAGGGUGGGGGCUCAGGUUGUUGGGCAGUGUUCUGAAUUAGACAGGCCAAGAUGCCAGUUCACAGAGCAACAGCUAGUGCACAGGCCUCUUCCCUGGGAGACAGGCCCUCGAAAAGUCCUCCCAGCAUCAGAAGAUGUUCCAUGCAAAAGUCCAGCUGUCCUCAGCACCGUUUGCAGAUGAUAUUGUCGGGUUUUACCAAGUUGGUUGGGUAGCAGUCACGUGGGUACAGCAGAAGGGGUAGGUGGCCCAGCUGUGGCACCGAGCUUGGCCUUCUCUAGAAAAGGCAAAGCUCCCUCCGUUUGCUUCUGCCGAACACCAGGGCCUAUAAACAGGCAAAACUUACAGAUCGAAUAUGUUGGUCCCUGGAGACUAGGCUUCCAGCUGAUGGGGUGGUAGUACCAAUUGAGGGCCAGCUGGGUUCUCCAAGUGUUCUCUGCCCUUGCUCUAGGGGAGCGGGCUUUGGGAGUUGGGGAUUGGGACUUAGGUCAUACUUCCUCAGAGUGUGCUGGGUCCUGCCCAGGAACGGCCCUGGGAUGCUUUUGCCCUAGUUUACCUCGCAUAUCCUUGUUCCCCAGGAACAAGAGAGCGUGCCCAUGCAGGUAUCCUGUAAAUGUACAUUGGUGGGGGGUCACUAAGAUCUUACACUCAACCUCAGACAACCGAAGUGGCCGGGAGGGGAAGUACACGGCAAGGCGAGUGGGCCAGGGCUCGCUGGCGUGGAUUCUGUAGAGAAGGAAUACCCUUCAGAGGCGGGUCUGCCACACAGUGCGUGACCUUUCUCUAGCCCAGCAUGGUCUCCCCUGGCACUGACCACUGCCCUGGGGUAGCUGUUCUUCCUGUUGCUCCACCCUCAGGUCCUGUUCUUGCAAUAAUUGCUUCCUGUGGGCCCCCAGAUUCAAGUCAGAGCUGAGCUAGUCCUAAGAACCCCUCCCUCUGACAGCCGCCUCCUCCCAGGUGUUUGGAGAAGCCACCGAGGUGAAGAGCCAGCCUGGGUGAGCCUGGCGAGUCACUUUGAGGAGAGGCAGUGCCAUUCCCAGCCACCCGUACUCCAGGCCAGUUGUCACAGCCCUGCCUGUCUACUCUGGGAUGCCAUCUCUUGGCUUCAGUUAUUUCCCAAGAAUUUCCAAAGAGGUCCCUGACAUGACAGAUUUCCUGAAGGCUGUGGACACAUGUGCUGUUUACUGGGGGGACGCCGGCAGAUCCCACCCCAAAACGGAGGAGGAUGGCUUAGGCCUCCACCCGCUGGCUCUGCCCUGAGACUGCCUCAGCUGAGCACCUCACAGGACUUGGGACUUGCUUGAGAAAACAGGCUCAUGAAGGCAGAGAUGCCCUUCCCACCUCAGGAAGGCAAGCAGGGUCAGCCUCUGAAAAUCAGUUAGUGCACAUUCUCACCACAGAAGGAACAAAACCACAUGAUCAUCUCAAUAGGCACAGUGUUCAACAAAAGUCAACAUCCAUUCAUGAAGAAAACAUUCAAAAACCUAAGAAGAGAGCUUCCCCGACCUGAUAAACGGCAUCUAUGAAAAAACCCAUAGUCAAUAUUUUACCAGAUGGUGGAAUGUUUUCCCUGUUAAGAUCAGGAAUAAGAAAAAACUGCUCUUACCAUUACUUGACAUUGUACUGGAGGGUCUAGUCAGGGCAGUUAGGCAAGAAAAUGAAAAGUUAUCUGGGUUAGAAGGCAGAAGUAAAACUGCAGAUGACAUGAUAGUGUAUAUAGGAAAUCCUAAGGAAGCCACUAAAAAUGCUGUUAUAACUAAUAAAUGAAUUCAACAAGGUUGUGGUAUAUAAAUUUGAUUGUAUUUCUAUAUGCUUGUAAUCAGAAUGAAAUGAAAUCAAUGAAA